rnacentral:rRNA from 1 species
UACGUAGGGUGCAAGCGUUAAUCGGAAUUACUGGGCGUAAAGCGUGCGCAGGCGGUUAUGUAAGACAGAUGUGAAAUGCCCGGGCUUAACCUGGGAACUGCAUUUGUGACUGCAUGGCUAGAGUUUGGCAGAGGGGGGUAGAAUUCCACGUGUAGCAGUGAAAUGCGUAGAUAUGGUGGAGGAACACCGAUGGCGAAGGCAGUCCCCUGGGUCAAGACUGACGCUCAUGCACGAAAGCGUGGGGAGCAAACAGG